AAUAGAUACCCGGGUAGUCCACGCCGUAAACGAUGGAUACUAGCUGUUUGAGCGCAAGUUUGAGUGGCUAAGCGAAAGUGAUAAGUAUCCCACCUGGGGAGUACGGGCGCAAGCCUGAAACUCAAAGGAAUUGACGGGGGCCCGCACAAGCGGUGGAGCAUGUGGUUUAAUUCGAUGAUACGCGAGGAACCUUACCAGGGCUUAAAUGUAGAUUGACGUAUUUGGAAACAGAUAUUUCUUCGGACAAUUUACAAGGUGCUGCAUGGUUGUCGUCAGCUCGUGCCGUAAGGUGUCAGGUUAAGUCCUAUAACGAGCGCAACCCCUGUUGUUAGUUGCCAGCGAGUAAUGUCGGGAACUCUAGCAAGACUGCCAGUGUAAACUGUGAGGAAGGUGGGGAUGACGUCAAAUCAUCACGGCCCUUACGUCCUGGGCCACACACGUGCUACAAUGGCCGGUACAGAGAGCAGCCACUUAGCGAUAAGGAGCGAAUCUAUAAAGCCGGUCACAGUUCGGAUCGGAGUCUGCAACUCG
rnacentral:rRNA from 1 species